UGCUGUGAAUGUUUAAUCAACAGGGGAUAUUAUGACAUUUACUGCAGCCGCACCUACUGCUCUCUGUGAUGCGGCUACAUUAAAGACUAGAACAUGAAGGAAGUAUAGAACAUAGCAGCAGUAAUUCCCGUUAAUAAAAGGGAUGGGAAGUGGCAAUUCACUUCCAGCGGUGAGCUAAUUCCCGAAGAGAUUUUUCUCAAAAUUUGCA